GACGAACGCUGGCGGCGUGCUUAACACAUGCAAGUCGAACGGAAAGGCCCUGCUUUUGUGGGGUGCUCGAGUGGCGAACGGGUGAGUAACACGUGAGUAACCUGCCCUUGACUUUGGGAUAUCUUCAGGAAACUGGGGCUAAUACCGGAUAGGAGCUCCUGCUGCAUGGUGGGGGUUGGAAAGUUUCGGCGGUUGGGGAUGGACUCGCGGCUUAUCAGCUUGUUGGUGGGGUAGUGGCUUACCAAGGCUUUGACGGGUAGCCGGCCUGAAAGGGUGACCGGCCACAUUGGGACUGAGAUACGGCCCAGACUCCUACGGGAGGCAGCAGUGGGGAAUAUUGCACAAUGGGCGGAAGCCUGAUGCAGCAACGCCGCGUGCGGGAUGACGGCCUUCGGGUUGUAAACCGCUUUCGCCUGUGACGAAGCGUGAGUGACGGUAAUGGGUAAAGAAGCACCGGCUAACUACGUG
rnacentral:rRNA from 1 species